GGGGGGAGGGGGGAGUUGCAGCUCCUGGCAAAUGCGCCAAAGUGUCCAGCCCCACCCUCGCGACCUCUAACCUCUCCUCGGACGGGAAGACCGGCGCGUUCCACGCAUGCUCAGUACGUCCGCGCAGAUUUCUGAAGCUCGAAUCCCGCGUGCGUUGUGUACGGUGAGCACCAGCUCGGGGGUCGGCGUCCUGUCCAGUCCCUGACUGAGGUCGCUCAGAUGCCGGGGCUGUGCACCCUGCCCAGUGGAACAAAAACAGAAGAAGGAAGCCUGCUGGCACAGGUGCACAUACUCUGUGUCCUUGUGCUUUCUGGCUGCCAUGAGAUGAGCAGCUUUCUUUCACCAUGCUGUUCCACCAUGAUGUCCUACCUCACCUCAUGCCCAGAGUGAUGAAGCCAGCAGGCUAUGACUGAAAGCCCUAAAACUAUGAGCAAAAAUAACCUUUUCAUCGUUUAACCUGUUAUUCUCAGGUAAAAGCUAAAUUCAGACUCGCUUUUUGCUCAGCAACCAAAGGGCCACCAUGCUUUAUGAUUUAUAGCAACCCCAUUAUCCCACAAGUGACACUGCAUUCCGCCUCCAGGGUCUAUGAUAAGAUCAUGGACGCAAGAGUUGCACAGCACCCUGCCUGGGAAUACCAGUCUUGCAGGCUCCCUUCCAGUUGGACCGUCUGGUGUGCCUGGCUUUCCAGAGUGUGCGCCCAGCUCCCGGCUCCAUCCUCUGUGACAGCACCACAGCCCCAUCACUGUGGGCUCGCACAGGCUCCUCAACAGCUAACAGAAGCUCAACCUCAAGAAAAUGGAAUCCCAUAUUCCAACCUGGACAUUUAGUACUGGUAAAGUCUCUUCCCUCAUCAUCUCCUCCGCUAGGACCAAUUUGGGAAGGAUCAUGCACUGUGAUCCUGUCAACACCAUCAGCUGUCAAGGUAGCAGGCCUGGACCCCUGGAUACACCACACUUGACACAAGCCCUGGGAAGCAGAAACUAUUGUGCUGCUAAGAUCAUUCUUCAUCAAGCUUGCUGAUACAUUUGGGCAAGAGUUUCUCUAGAAGGAGGUUGCUGGACUAGAGGAUAGAACCUUGACGGAUCCUCUGCAUCCAAGCCACAAAUGAGGGAAGAGAGACACACGGAGAAACCGAAGGAGAAUAUCACUUCUCUCCACACAUCACUGGUCAAGGCCAGCUACAGGACCCCACCAAGACAGCAGAAGCCAGGAAAAUGUCUGGCUAUAUGAGCAGGUAGAAGACAGCCUAAUACCAAGCACUGGCAGCCUUGGUUAUACAAGUUCCAUACAAGAAGAAGAUGUAUUUUUAACAACAAACAUAUCAAAGCAAACACUGACCCCACCCUUCUACCCUUCUGCCACAUUAUGAUGUACCACAAGGACCCUCAGAAGCCAAGCAAAUGCCAGCACCGGGCCCUGGGACUUCCCCAUCUCCAGAGCCAUGAGACAAAAUGAACUUCUUUCCUAUAGGAUUUGCCCAGUGACUGAAACAGCUACUUUGUCCCUGUCCUCACCAUCUGGUGUCAGUGGGUUUUGCUCCAAUUAGAUUACUUGGGACUCCCAAGUGUCUUCCUUGUUGGGAAGGAACCACUCACUACCACCACCAUUCUCCUUACAGGUGAUAAUUUGAGUUGUUUUCCUUGAAUGGCCCUCCUUCCUCCUUCUAGCCAAUGUGGGGUUGCUUUUGAGUAAAUUGGAUUUUAUAAAAAGUAAAUGGUGUUUAAAGGACUAUUCACUCCUCCCACAUAAUUAAAGGUAUCUUGGGGCUCUUCCCUUUGGGGACCUUCACUUCCAUAGCUUUAUCUCUCAUCUAAACACAAAUGGCUCUUCAAUGUAAAUUCUUGCCCUGGCUUUUCUCCUGAUAAGCCAUUUUUCUUGUUCUCUGAGGCCCAUCCAACUGUAACACCUGCUACACAAGUGAGUAAAUUCAAGCCACAUUGGUCUGUUUGGCCUUUGAACUUAGGCUCAUUUCUAAAACCACCUGUUUACCCAUGCUGCACCCAUCCCUCAUGUUUCUCAGCCUGUAUGCACCCCUACUAGCUUCCACUUCAAGCCCAGUUCCCCAUGGAAUCUUCCCAGCGCCCUCUGAUCUUUUUGUUCUCUACCUAUCUCUAUUUCUGUCACGUGUUACCUUGAAUCAUCUGCGACUCUAUCAUUUAAAUGCCCUGUCUCCCCACCUCAAUUACAUGCAUAGUGCUUGUUUCUUCCAGAAAGUCUCAUGCUAAACAUGUGCUUGUUCUUUUUAUUUUCCCUGACUCCUACUGCAUCCAGAGCGGGAGAUGUUUCAAUUAUCUCGUAAUACACAGCAAGCCAUUAAUAAUCUUGUGGGGUGACUGAGUUUAAUUGGGAACUUCUCCCUUAGGGUCUCUCAUGCAGUUGCAGCCAGAUGUCAAGUGAAGAUUUGUCUGGGCUGAGCACCCCAGGUUGCUCACUCUCGUGACAUGGUGUUGAAGCUGACUGUUGUCUGAGAGCUCAGCUGGGUCUGUCAACAAGAGCACCCAAACAUGUCCUCACCAUGUGGCUUUUUACAGCCUGACAGCUGGGUCCAAUGAGGGAACAUU